rnacentral:rRNA from 1 species
GAUGAACGCUGGCGGCGUGCCUAAUACAUGCAAGUCGAGCGAACGGACGAUACGCUUGCUUCUCUGAUGUUAGCGGCGGACGUGUGAGUAACACGUGGAUAACCUACCUAUAUGACUGGGAUAACUUCGUGAAACCGGAGCUAAUACCGGAUUAUAUUUUGAUCCUCAUGGUUCAAAAGUGAAAGACGGUCUUGCUGUCACUUAUCGAUGGAUCCGCGCUGCAUUAGCUAGUUGGUAAGGUAACGGCUUACCAAGGCAACGAUGCAUAGCCGACCUGAGAGGGUGAUCGGCCACACUGGAACUGAGACACGGUCCAGACUCCUACGGGAGGCAGCAGUAGGGAAUCUUCUGCAAUGGGCGAAAGCCUGACGGAGCAACGCCGCGUGAGUGAUGAAGGUCUUCGGAUCGUAAAACUCUGUUAUUAGGGAAGAACAUAUGUGUAAGUAACUGUGCACAUCUUGACGGUACCUAAUCAGAAAGCCACGGCUAACUACGUG